GCCUGGUUAGCUUAGUUGGUAGUGCGUCUGCCUUGUAAGCGCUAGGCCGCGGGUUCGAUUCCCGCCCGGGGCG
rfam:Asian citrus Psyllid, Diaphorina citri - Florida Strain, whole genome shotgun sequence.